GGUGCGGUGGCGGAGAGGCUACGCAGCGGAUUGCAAAUCCGUGUACACCGGUUCAAAUCCGGUCCGCACCUCCA
rnacentral:tRNA from 2 species